UACGUAGGCGGCAAGCGUUGUCCGGAAUUAUUGGGCGUAAAGGGAGCGCAGGCGGGAAACUAAGCGGAUCUUAAAAGUGCGGGGCUCAACCCCGUGAUGGGGUCCGAACUGGUUUUCUUGAGUGCAGGAGAGGAAAGCGGAAUUCCCAGUGUAGCGGUGAAAUGCGUAGAUAUUGGGAAGAACACCAGUGGCGAAGGCGGCUUUCUGGACCGUAACUGACGCUGAGGCUCGAAAGCUAGGGUAGCGAACGGG
rnacentral:rRNA from 1 species